rnacentral:rRNA from 1 species
ACCGGCGCACGGGUGAGUAACACGUGGAUAACCUGCCCUGGAGACUGGGAUAACCCGUCGAAGGACGGACUAAUACCAGAUAAGACCACGUUCGCAAAAGGUGCACUCCGGGAGGGGUCCGCGGCCUAUCAGCUAGUUGGCGGGGUAAUGGCCCACCAAGGCAAAGACGGGUAGCUGGUCUGAGAGGAUGGUCAGCCACACUGGGACUGAGACACGGCUCAGAGUCCUACGGGAUGCAGCAGUCAGGAAUAUUGCGCAAUGGAGGAAACUCUGACGCAGCGACGCCGCGUGGGUGAUGAAGGCCUUCGGGUCGUAAAGCCCUGUCGGAGGGAAAGAAUGACGGUACCCUCAAAGGAAGCACCGGCUAACUCCGUGCCAGCAGCCGCGGUAAGACGGAGGGUGCAAGCGUUGUUCGGAUUGACUGGGCGUAAAGGGCGUGUAGGCGGUCGGCCAAGUCUGAUGUGAAAGCCCGAGGCUCAGACUCGGAAGUGCGUCGGAAAC